rnacentral:rRNA from 1 species
CCUACGUGAGGCAGCAGUGAGGAAUAUUGGUCAAUGGGCUUACGCCUGAACCAGCCAAGUCGCGUGAGGGAAGACUGCCCUAUGGGUUGUAAACCUCUGUUGUCAGGGAGCAACGCCGGCUACGUGUAGCCGGACUGAGAGUAACUGAAGAAAAAGCAUCGGCUAACUCCGUGCCAGCAGCCGCGGUAAUACGGAGGAGGCGAGCGUUAUCAGGAUUUAUUGGGUUUAAAGGGUGCGUAGGCGGAAUGCCAAGUCAGCGGUAAAAUCGCGGGGCUCAACCUCGCUCCGCCGUUGACACUGGCGUUCUUUAGUGGGCGAGCAGUAUGCGGAAUGCGUGGUGUAGCGGUGAAAUGCAUAGAUAUCACGCAGAACUCCGAUUGCGAAGGCAGCAUACCGGCGCCCAACUGACGCUGAAGCACGAAAGCGUGGGUAUCGAACAGGAUUAGAUACCCGGGUAGUC